CCUCUUUUCUCAGGGAAGAACACAAUGACGGUACCUGAGGAAUAAGCAUCGGCUAACUCCGUGCCAGCAGCCGCGGUAAUACGGAGGAUGCAAGCGUUAUCCGGAAUGAUUGGGCGUAAAGCGUCCGUAGGUGGUUUUGUAAGUCUGUGGUUAAAGCGUGGAGCUCAACUCCAUAAGGGCCAUGGAAACUACAAGACUAGAGUGAAGUAGGGGUAGAGGGAAUUCCCAGUGUAGCGGUGAAAUGCGUAGAGAUUGGGAAGAACACCGGUGGCGAAAGCGCUCUACUGGACUUAUACUGACACUGAGGGACGAAAGCUAGGGGAGCGAAAGGGAUAGAUACCCCUGUAGUCCUAGCGUAAACGAUGGAUACUAGGUGUUGCCCGUAUCGACCCGGGCAGUGCGUAGCUAACGCGUUAAGUAUCCCGCUGGGGAGUACGCACGCAAGUGUGAAACUCAAAGGAAUUGACGGGGGCCCGCACAAGCGGUGGAGUAUGUGGUUUAAUUCGAUGCAACGCGAAGAACCUUACCAGGGCUUGACAUGUCUGGAAUCUUUGGGAAACUAAAGAGUGCCUUCGGGAACCAGAACACAGGUGGUGCAUGGCUGUCGUCAGCUCGUGUCGUGAGAUGUUGGGUUAAGUCCCGCAACGAGCGCAACCCUCGUUUUUAGUUGCCAUCAUUAAGUUGGGCACUCUAGAAAGACUGCCGGUGACAAACCGGAGGAAGGUGGGGAUGACGUCAAGUCAGCAUGCCCCUUACGCCCUGGGCUACACACGUACUACAAUGCUAUGGACAAAGGGCAGCCAACCAGCGAUGGUGCGCUAAUCCCAUAAACCAUGGCUCAGUUCAGAUUGCAGGCUGCAACUCGCCUGCAUGAAGGCGGAAUCGCUAGUAAUCGCAGGUCAGCAUACUGCGGUGAAUCCGUUCCCGGGCCUUGUACACACCGCCCGUCUCACCAUGGGAGUUGGUCACGCCCGAAGUCGUUACCCUAACUGCUUGCAGAGGGGGACGCCGAAGGUAGGGCUGAUGACUGGGGUGAAGUCGUAACAAGGUAGCCGUACCGGAAGGUGUGGCUGGAUCACCUCCUUUAAGGGAGACCUCACACUAUCGAUACUGAAACAGAUUGGAUUAAGUAAGAUAGAUGUCUUCCCAAGGUCGAGCGAAUUAGCGGAUGCAAUCGCGCUGAGG
rnacentral:rRNA from 1 species